AGAGCACCAUGCUUGCUGGUUUAUAUGGAAGAUAACUGGUAGCUGAAAGCAGGAUGACUUAGGCUUUGAAUGGGUCCUAUGGGUGCCGCCCUGUCGGGGACACACAGGAGGCGGCGGCCGGCCGCCAGGUGGCGCUGCGGGGUCGGGCCAGUCCGGGCGCGGCGUCUCUCCCUAGCGGCGCCCCCUCUCGGCCGCUCUCGGCGCAUUCCCCGCGGCGCUCCGGUCCCUGCUCCGCUGCUCCCGAGAGCGCUCCGCUGCAGCCGCCACACUCCUGAGGCCGAGGGCAGCCCUGCCUGGACCUCUCCCCAGCGCUCCGGUCCCGGAGGAAGGAAAAGGAAGAGAGACAUUUUCUCUCUUUUUAUUUAUUUGGUUUUUUUUCCCCUUUGGUGAACUCAGUGAAGUUCGGACAACUGGCCGUCUUCCUCCCCGCUGCCGGAGGGGGAAACCUCUGUGGCGGAGGGGUACGGAGGGGGGAAAACAACAACAACAACAGCGAAAACCUUAACCCGACACAGCUCUUACACCCACAGCCCCUCAACCGCUUCGAGUCCUGGUAGCCGUCAUCUGCGGGUACCAGUGCCAGUCAGCUCCUCCGAGCAGCAGGGGAAGCUCCGUGCCCUCAUUAGGCGGUGCCGCCGGGCAGCAGCCGAGAUUCCCUGCUCCCCGGCGUAGGUCUCGGAGGAGGCAAAGCAGAGGGAGGAUCCGCUAGGAUCCAGGUAGAUCCAGCUUUUACCGCUUACCGAAAGCUACCACCAGCAGGACCUCCGUCUCCUCCCUCCCUCCUCCCCUAACUCCCCCCCUCCCCUGCCCCUCCGCGAUGAGAGACGGGCCAAGUCCGUGCGCGCCAGCAGCGCUCGCUGCCAGGGGCGGACGGAUCGCUUUCAUGUCACAGGGUGUCUGCUAGCCCUGCGGAGGCUCCCCCGGCCGGGCCGGGGUGGGGCGGCGGCGGGUGGCAGCUGCCCCGAGGCCGGGGUGACUGCCGGCCUCGCGGAAUGCUGGCGGCGGGGGAUGCGGAGCCGGCUGUGGACUAACAUGGGGGGCAGCCACUCCCACAGGGCGCCCGUGUUCGACGAGAACGAGGACGGUGAGUGUGGAGCUGUCCAAGGUACCCGCCGCGCCCGCGAGCCCCGUAGUUCCCGACGCUGGCUCAGCCCCGGGGCCGCAGGCAGCAGCUCGCCCUCAGCCAGGUGUCAGCAGCUUCCUCAGUACCCCCGGGGAGGUAUUUUGGAUAGAUUCUCCAUCCGGCUGCUUUCUGUGGGGUAGGGUCCCUGGGGAAGGAGGAGGACAAGCCCACCUUUGUCUAGCUGUUCUCACUAAUUACGUAGUUCUUUGCUUUUAUACAAGCUAAACCGAAGUCUAGGACACCGCCGCUUGGGUUUUAAACACAUGGCCAGAUAACUUCAUGUGUGUGUAUGCGAACUGGCAUUAUUUUGGAAAUGAAUGCCUGCUUUUCUCCUUUCAUUUGUAGUUGACUCUUUGCCCAUUAGCCUACUUCAGAUCUUUCAGUCAAUAUACUUCUUUCUCCACCUUUACUUUCUGAAACUUUUCUUGAAGUUGUACUAUUACUUUGAGAUUUUUUUCCCUGACUAGGUAGUAUGUCAGAAGAAACUGUAUCCAGCAAAGUUUUUGGAAUACAAACAGAAGUUUGUAGAAAAUGUGGUGGUUUUUUUUUUUCCCACUUUUUUAUGUAUUUCCAUGUCACUUUUAUAUAUAGACCAUGGUUAGCUGGAAUUAUACUACUCUUUCAAUUUCAGUCAUUCUGGCUUUUAAAGCGAAGAGAACACCUCACAUUUAGGAAGCAGGUAUUUGUAUACCAGAAAAAAAUGUUACUUAUGGGAUACAUGUUGCUGCAUAACUGGAUAAUUGAUACUUCAUUUUGGAUAUACUUCUUUCAACAUAGUUCCCAAAAUAUUUUAUUGAGAAAUGCUUGUGCCUCAACAGACUUUGCUUUGCCUUUCUGAGGUUCAUAACAAAUCAGAAGCGUUUAUGCUCUUUCCUAUCCAUUUGGGACACAUGGAGACGUUUGCAUUGCUUUGCUAA